UAUUCAGCCCACCAGAGUCUAUUUAUAAAAGAGGAGUUCAUACAAAAAAACGAACUGGUCCUACUCAGUUCGGUCUUACAAGUUACUCAAGCAAGGGCCGCAAUCGUGGAAUCAUGGGUCUUACACCGAACUGACUCUUCGCCAAAAAACUUGGUCUAAACUCAUGCGACUUUUCGAUGACUCUAGACUCAAAGGGGGGCUAGUGUAGUGGGGCAAAUUUCCCAGUAGCCACGUGUCAGUUCGGAUAUGAUGACCUAUCAGUUCGACCAACUAAUCUACGGAUGCCACAUGUCAGCUCGGAUAUUGUGAUAUGACAGCUCGGACAGAGCAGCUCGGAGAAGAGGGAGGUCAGCUCGGCUGCAGCCGCCGCCUCUCCAUGAAGUGGGCCUGAUGGGCCGCCGCCUCCGGAUCUUCAGGGGUGGUUGUAUGAAACCCUAGAAAGACUCCGAACCCUAAGGGGACUUUGACUCCUAUAUGGAAACUACCACCCAUUAAGCCUAUAUAUACAGCACCACAAGACGACACAAGGUAUGACAUCCACAGUUCUCUCUACUGUUGCUCUACUCUUGAGCUCUACUGACUUGGCCGUCGGAGCUAUUCCGGGGACUCUAGUCCCUCCGUUUAUUUCCCUCUCUGCAGGACAGGUCGUCCGUUCUCUCCCCGUCAAUUCGGCCUAUCAGCUCGGCCACUCUCUGUUAGCCCCACCGUCUGUCCAUUUGCAGGUCGGCUCGUUCACCUGACCAGCUCGCCAGCUCGCUCCCUCUCAACUC
rnacentral:lncRNA from 1 species